rfam:Nippostrongylus brasiliensis genome assembly, scaffold: NBR_contig0005344
ACAUCGGUAGCACAGUGGUCAGUGCAGGCUGCCGGAAGCAGAAAGACGCGGGUUCAAUUCCCGUCCGAUGCG